GACUUGGUAGUGCGGAUGCAGUGCCCCGCAGCCCUGGGUCUGAGUCUCCGACCUGCCUCUGUGGCUUGCUGUGGGGCUUAGGAAUGGAGGUGUGAGAUGUCCAGUCUGGCGCUUGGCACUUAGUAGGAAACUGAGGCCUGAGGUCACAGAGCCAAGGAGUGGUAGAGCCAAGCUUUGACUCCCCAGUGGGCAAGGGUUCUACAGACGGGCAAGGUGAUCAUCAUCGGGGCCUUCAGCCGUCUGGAUGCUUACUUCACACGCACGUGUGCACUGAGCAGGCCCUGCACGUUGCGUGGAAGCCCACCCUGACCUCCUCUGGCUCUUGAGGUGACCUGGACUUACUCUGUUGAAGAAUGUUGCCUCUUUCACAUUCUAAUCUCUCAUCCCAAGCUGGACCCCCUGACUGGGACCCAAAAGAGGGCUAUAUCUCCAGAGGCCGGCAAGAACCCAGCACAGGGCAGCCAUGGGGGCCAGGUGUUGGGUGAAUGACAUCACCGAGCACCUGUUGUGUGCCGAACCCUUCACACACGAGUCCGGCGUUUAACAUCUUUCUUCCGGAAUGCUGGCUUUGCCAAGACUGGUGCAUAGUAAGCACUCCAGGAUUAUGUGAUGGAAGUGCUGAGAUGAACUGUCACUCAGAGGAAAGAAGACUUCCUGAGGAUGGGGCCUUAGCAGAUUGAGCUCAUGAGACGAUCAAAAUAAGAAGAAAAUAAUAAUUGUCAUUUAUUAUUAUCCAGGAUCAUUAUUUAUUAUCAUUAUUUGUUAUGAUCCCGGAUCAUAAUAAAUAGUUCAUCUUCCCAGGGGCUUGGUACUGCUCUUGUGCUCAUCUCACAGACGGGGGAACUGAGGCACAGAGAGGUGAAGGUGGAAACCCCAAGUCACACAGUCAGUGAGUGGCAGAGCCAGGAUUAGACCAACACUGUUUGCCUGAGGAGACUGUCCUGAGCUUAUUACAACACACCUUCCACUAUUAAAAAGAGAAGUGCCGAUGGCUGUACCCAUUUUGCAGAUGAGGAAACAGAGUUUCUGAGAAGCGAAAGGGCUGGCCCGUGUCUGGAAGCAGAGAUGGUGGCUCAGCUGGAGGCGCGCAAGGGAAUGCCCCAGCCUCCAGGGUUAGUACUCUAAAGGAGCGGGGAGCUGUCCCCUGCCUGUUCUUGUGUCUGGCCAAUACCCCAGCCUCUGUUUACCCAGCCCAACACCCAAGAGCUGCCUCUUCCGCCUGCCCCGGAG